GGACAAUAAUGAAAAACACUAACAAAAAACGCCAUCUUUCAGGACUGUUUGGUGCACUCAAUGUGCCAUGCUGUCAAAUCUGCAAUACUGAUGUUU